GACGAACGCUGGCGGCGUGCCUAAUACAUGCAAGUGGGACGCAAGGAAACACACUGUGCUUGCACACCGUGUUUUCUUGAGUCGCGAACGGGUGAGUAACGCGUAGGUAACCUGCCUAUUAGCGGGGGAUAACUAUUGGAAACGAUAGCUAAUACCGCAUAAUAUUAAUUAUUGCAUGAUAAUUGAUUGAAAGAUGCAAGCGCAUCACUAGUAGAUGGACCUGCGUUGUAUUAGCUAGUUGGUAAGGUAAGAGCUUACCAAGGCGACGAUACAUAGCCGACCUGAGAGGGUGAUCGGCCACACUGGGACUGAGACACGGCCCAGACUCCUACGGGAGGCAGCAGUAGGGAAUCUUCGGCAAUGGACGAAAGUCUGACCGAGCAACGCCGCGUGAGUGAAGAAGGUUUUCGGAUCGUAAAGCUCUGUUGUAAGUCAAGAACGUGUGUGAGAGUGGAAAGUUCACACAGUGACGGAGCUACCAGAAAGGACGGCA
rnacentral:rRNA from 1 species